GCCGAUGUGGCGGAAUGGCAGACGCACUCGACUCAAAAUCGAGCGGGAAACCAUGAGGGUUCGAAUCCCUCCAUCGGCACCA
rnacentral:tRNA from 1 species